AUGGAGUUGGGGCUGAGCUGGGUUUUCCUUGUUGCUAUUUUAGAAGGUGUCCAGUGUGAGGUGCAGCUGGUGGAGUCUGGGGGAGGCUUGGUCCAGCCUGGGGGGUCCCUGAGACUCUCCUGUGCAGCCUCUGGAUUCACCUUUAGUAGCUAUUGGAUGAGCUGGGUCCGCCAGGCUCCAGGGAAGGGGCUGGAGUGGGUGGCCAACAUAAAGCAAGAUGGAAGUGAGAAAUACUAUGUGGACUCUGUGAAGGGCCGAUUCACCAUCUCCAGAGACAACGCCAAGAACUCACUGUAUCUGCAAAUGAACAGCCUGAGAGCCGAGGACACGGCCGUGUAUUACUGUGCGAGAGA